UUAACGAUUUGCUUUGUACUUCAGGCUGCAGGGUUGUUCAGGGUUGAUGUCGGCGGGGGGUCCUUUUUCGGGGAACCUCCUUCGCGCCAAACGGGCGGGCGAAAAGCAAAGGGUUGGUGCCGGGCGCCGGAGCGCCCGCAGACCCGGUAAUGAUCCUUCCGCAGGUUCACCUACGGAAA
rnacentral:misc_RNA from 1 species